AUUGAACGCUGGCGGCAGGCUUAACACAUGCAAGUCGAGCGGGGUGAUGGUGCUUGCACUAUCACUUAGCGGCGGACGGGUGAGUAAUGCUUAGGAAUCUGCCUAUUAGUGGGGGACAACAUCUCGAAAGGGAUGCUAAUACCGCAUACGUCCUACGGGAGAAAGCAGGGGAUCACUUGUGACCUUGCGCUAAUAGAUGAGCCUAAGUCGGAUUAGCUAGUUGGUGGGGUAAAGGCCUACCAAGGCGACGAUCUGUAGCGGGUGUGAGAGGAUGAUCCGCCACACUGGGACUGAGACACGGCCCAGACUCCUACGGGAGGCAGCAGUGGGGAAUAUUGGACAAUGGGGGGAACCCUGAUCCAGCCAUGCCGCGUGUGUGAAGAAGGCCUUAUGGUUGUAAAGCACUUUAAGCGAGGAGGAGGCUCUUUUGGUUAAUACCCAGAAUGAGUGGACGUUACUCGCAGAAUAAGCACCGGCUAACUCUGUGCCAGCAGCCGCAGUAA
rnacentral:rRNA from 1 species